UUGUGAUUGAUUCCCGGCUCAGGACGAACGCGGGCGGCGUGCCUAAUACACGCAAGUCGAGCGGACAUCAUAUGAGCUUGCUCUUAUGAGGUUAGCGGCGGACGGGUGAGUAACACGUGGGCAACCUGCCCCGUAGAGUGGGAUAAGUUCGGGAAACCGGAGCUAAUACCGGAUAAUCAAUGACACCACACGGUGUCAUUGUAAAAGUUGGGUUUACCUAACACUACAGGAUGGGCCCGCGGCGCAUUAGCUAGUUGGUGAGGUAACGGCUCACCAAGGCGACGAUGCGUAGCCGACCUGAGAGGGUGAUCGGCCACACUGGGACUGAGACACGGCCCAGACUCCUACGGGAGGCAGCAGUAGGGAAUCUUCCGCAAUGGACGAAAGUCUGACGGAGCAACGCCGCGUGAGUGAUGAAGGCCUUCGGGUCGUAAAGCUCUGUUGUUAGGGAAGAACAAGUACCGUUCGAAUAGGGCGGUACCUGACCGGUACCUACCAAAGCCG
rnacentral:rRNA from 1 species